UUAGCGAGAGCCAUGCGAGAAACAUGGCGGUCGAAAGCCCAAGGUUUCCUGGGGAAGGUUCAUCCUCCCAGGGUAAGUCGGGACCUAAGCCGAGGACAGAAGUCGUAGGCGAUGGACAGCAGGUGGAAAUUCCUGCACUACCGAGGAAUGAAGCAGUGACGCAGAAGGAUAGCUCGAGCGCGGUGAUGGUCAACUGCGUGAAAGUGUCGAGUGUGGUCUGUAGUUAAGUACGCAGACCGGGAGCAUGAGGCACGAGAGGACCGAAAUCAGAGUAGGGAAGCGAGUGAGUUCACGCUGACAAGAAAAGCUGCUAGUACAUCCGAAGGUACCCGUACCGUAAACCGACGCAGGUGGGCGGGGAGAGAAUCCUGAGACGAACGGGAGAACCCUUGUUAAGGAACUCGGCAAAAUGACCCCGUAACUUCGGGAGAAGGGGUGCCUGCGCAAGCAGGCCGCAGAGAAUAGGCUCAGGCGACUGUUUAACAAAAACACAGGUAUCUGCGAAAGCGAGAGCUGACGUAUAGGUGCUGACACCUGCCCGGUGCUGGAAGGUUAAGGGAAAAUGUCAACGCAAGUGAAGCAUAGAACCGAAGCCCCAGUAAACGGCGGCCGUAACAAUAACGGUCCUAAGGUAGCGAAAUUCCUUGUCGGGUAAGUUCCGACCCGCACGAAUGGUGUAACGAUUCUGAGCGCUGUCUCAACAAGGGGCCCGGUGAAAUUGAAGUAUGGGUGAAGAUGCCCAUUACCCGCGACUGGACGGAAAGACCCCGUAGAGCUUUACUGUAACCUGAUAUUGGAUUUCGGUAACGGAUGCACAGGAUAGGUGGGAGACUGGGAAGUGUGCGCUUCGGCGUGCAUGGAGUCGCUGUUGGGAUACCACUCUUCUGUUGCUGAAAUUCUAACAUAGCACCGUAAGCCGGUGGAUGGACAGUGUCAGGCGGACAGUUUGGCUGGGGCGGUCGCCUCCAAAAGAGUAACGGAGGCGCCCAAAGGUACCCUCAGAAUGGAUGGAAACCAUUCGCAGAGUGCAAAGGCAGAAGGGUGCCUGACUGCGAGACUGACAAGUCGAGCAGAUACGAAAGUAGGGCUUAGUGAUCCGGCGGUAUUGAGUGGAAAAGCCGUCGCUUAACGGAUAAAAGCUACCUCGGGGAUAACAGGCUGAUACCCCCCAAGAGUUCACAUCGACGGGGGUGUUUGGCACCUCGAUGUCGGCUCGUCGCAUCCUGGGGCUGAAGCAGGUCCCAAGGGUUUGGCUGUUCGCCAAUUAAAGCGGCACGCGAGCUGGGUUCAGAACGUCGUGAGACAGUUCGGUCCCUAUCCAUCGUGGGCGUAGGAAUCAUGAGAGGAGCUGCUCCUAGUACGAGAGGACCGGAGUGGACGCACCACUGGUGCAACUGUUGUCGUGCCAACGGCAUAGCAGGGAAGCGAAGUGCGGAAGGGAUAAACGCUGAAGGCAUCUAAGCGUGAAGCCCCCCUCAAGAAUAAGGUUCCCACUAGAAAUAGGUAAGGCCCCCGGUAGACUACCGGGUUGAUAGGCCGCCGGUGGAAGCGCAGCAAUGCGUGCAGCUUGGCGGUACUAAUAGGCC
rnacentral:rRNA from 1 species